GGGGGAGUCGGAGUGCUUGCCUUCGCUGACGAGCGGCGGACGGGUGCGUAACACGUAGGAAUCUGCCCGGUAGUGGGGGAUAGCCCGGAGAAAUUCGGAUUAAUACCGCAUACGCCCUAAGGGGGAAAGCAGGGGAUCUUCGGACCUUGCGCUAUCGGAUGAGCCUGCGUCGGAUUAGCUAGUUGGUGGGGUAAAGGCCCACCAAGGCGACGAUCCGUAGCUGGUCUGAGAGGAUGAUCAGCCACACUGGGACUGAGACACGGCCCAGACUCCUACGGGAGGCAGCAGUGGGGAAUAUUGCACAAUGGGCGAAAGCCUGAUGCAGCCAUGCCGCGUGUGUGAAGAAGGCCCUAGGGUUGUAAACACUUUCAGUGGGGAGGAAAGGGAGAUUGCUAAUAUCAGUCUCCUGUGACGUUACCCACAGAAGAAGCACCGGCUAACUCCGUGCCAGCAGCCGCGGUAAUACGGAGGGUGCGAGCGUUAAUCGGAAUUACUGGGCGUAAAGCGUGCGUAGGCGGCUUUUUAAGUUGGAUGUGAAAGCCCCGGGCUUAACCUGGGAACUGCAUCCAAAACUGGAAGGCUUGAGUGCGAGAGAGGAGUGUGGAAUUUCCUGUGUAGCGGUGAAAUGCGUAGAUAUAGGAAGGGACACC
rnacentral:rRNA from 1 species